GUAGGCAAGCAACCUAACUCCGGGCUUCAGGGCCUUUGUGUUUAUCAUAAUUGCCCUUUAAAAUAGCCUGAGGAAAGUCCGUCCACCAUUUUUGCCUUUUAAUAAAAAGGCAGCUGAUAGGGAUUAAGCAUCUAACCAUCUUAUUCCUUAUUUUCAGAAAUGGAAGUCAACCGCUCAGAAACGGCACGGCCUUUAAGAUAGGGAAUGAUAAUGGUGAAGCACUCUGCGAAGAGAUGCGAGUUAACCCUUUGACGUCCUUAAAGGAUGCGUUGAAACGGCGAGUACCAGCUGGUGCAAGUCUGUAAAGACGCUUAGUACAAUGUUAGGAUGAACCUUCCGCAAGGGGUUCAACAAAAGAUGGCUUAUUCUUGCCUAC
rnacentral:RNase_P_RNA from 1 species